rnacentral:rRNA from 1 species
AAUGUUAAUUUUGCUUACCGGGGUACUAUUAGUUAAGAUCUUUAAACCUAAAGAAUUUGGCGGUAUCUCAUUCCAUUCAGAGGAACCUAUCCCGUAAUUGAUAAUACACGAUUGACUUUACUUAAUUUAUUUGUUUGUAUAUCUCCGUUAUCAGAGAAUCUUUUUAGAGUUAUAAUUUUCUUAAUUUAUAAUUGUUAAAUAUUUCAGGUCAAGGUGCAGCUUAUAGUUAAGAGGAGAUGGGUUACAAUAAAUUUUAGUUUAUUAUGGAUUUAUUAUUGAAAUGUUAAUAAUAAAAGUGGAUUUGAUAGUAAUUUGAUUUAUUUAAUUCAAUUGAUAUUGGCCCUGAGGU